GACGAACGCUGGCGGCGUGCCUAACACAUGCAAGUCGAACGGGACUCAUUGGAACAAGACUUCGGUCAAGUGAAAAUGAGUUUAGUGGCGGACGGGUGAGUAACGCGUGAGCAACCUGCCUUUCAGAGGGGGACAACAGUUGGAAACGACUGCUAAUACCGCAUAACGUAUUUUAAGGGCAUCCUUGAAAUACCAAAGAUUUUAUCGCUGAAAGAUGGGCUCGCGUCUGAUUAGUUAGUUGGUGAGGUAACGGCUCACCAAGACUACGAUCAGUAGCCGGACUGAGAGGUUGAACGGCCACAUUGGGACUGAGACACGGCCCAGACUCCUACGGGAGGCAGCAGUGGGGAAUAUUGCACAAUGGGCGCAAGCCUGAUGCAGCGAUGCCGCGUGAGGGAAGAAGGUUUUCGGAUGUAAAGCUCUAUCAGCAGGGAGAAAAUGACGGUACCUGACUAAGAAGCCCCGGNUAACUACGUG
rnacentral:rRNA from 1 species